UACAGAGGGUGCAAGCGUUAAUCGGAAUUACUGGGCGUAAAGCGUGCGUAGACGGUUAUGUAAGUCGGGUGUGAAAGCCCCGGGCUCAACCUGGGAAUUGCAUUCGAGACUGCAUAGCUAGGGUGCGGAAGAGGGAAGCGGAAUUUCCGGUGUAGCGGUGGAAUGCGUAGAGAUCCGGAAGAACACCGGUGGCGAAGGCGGCCUGCUGGGCAGUAGCUGACACUGAGGCGCGACAGCGUGGGGAGCAAACAGG
rnacentral:rRNA from 1 species